UACAGAGGUGCCGAGCGUUAGGCGGAAUCACUGGGCUUAAAGCGUGUGUAGGCGGCCCGUUAAGUGUCUUGUGAAAUCCCCCGGCUCAACCGGGGAACUGCUGGGCAUACUGGCGGGCUUGGGUCGCUCAGGGGCAGACGGAACAGGCGGUGGAGCGGUGAAAUGCGUAGAUAUCGCCUGGAACGCCGAAGGUGAAAACAGUCUGCUGGGGGCGCACCGACGCUGAGACACGAAAGCCAGGGGAGCGAACGGG
rnacentral:rRNA from 1 species